AGUGAACGCUGGCGGUAGGCCUAACACAUGCAAGUCGAACGGCAGCACAGUAAGAGCUUGCUCUUACGGGUGGCGAGUGGCGGACGGGUGAGGGAUACAUCUGAAUCUACUUUUUCGUGGGGGAUAACGUAGGGAAACUUACGCUAAUACCGCAUACGACCUACGGGUGAAAGCAGGGGAUCUUCGGACCUUGCGCGAUUGAAUGAGCCGAUGUCGGAUUAGCUAGUUGGCGGGGUAAAGGCCCACCAAGGCGACGAUCCGUAGCUGGUCUGAGAGGAUGAUCAGCCACACUGGAACUGAGACACGGUCCAGACUCCUACGGGAGGCAGCAGUGGGGAAUAUUGGACAAUGGGCGCAAGCCUGAUCCAGCCAUACCGCGUGGGUGAAGAAGGCCUUCGGGUUGUAAAGCCCUUUUGUUGGGAAAGAAAAGCAGCAGGUUAAUACCCCGCUGUUCUGACGGUACCCAAAGAAUAAGCACCGGCUAACUUCGUG
rnacentral:rRNA from 1 species